rnacentral:rRNA from 1 species
ACGUAGGGGGCGAGCGUUAUCCGGAUUCAUUGGGCGUAAAGCGCGCGUAGGCGGCCCGGCAGGCCGGGGGUCGAAGCGGGGGGCUCAACCCCCCGAAGCCCCCGGAACCUCCGCGGCUUGGGUCCGGUAGGGGAGGGUGGAACACCCGGUGUAGCGGUGGAAUGCGCAGAUAUCGGGUGGAACACUGGUGGCGAAGGCGGCCCUCUGGGCCGAGACCGACGCUGAGGCGCGAAAGCUGGGGGAGCGAACAG